CUCACGUUUCCUCCAUGCUCAAUAUCCUACCAAGAACCAUUCUAAUUGCUCGUCAAAACUUGACCUCCAUGGAUGAGGAAGACCCCUCUUCUACCAUAUUACUCCAUGAAGAACAAGAAGAGCAAGAGGAAGAGGAGGAGGAGGAGGAUACGCCAACUAGUGACUGGCUGAAAUUGGCACUCCCAACAUCGUCGGACCGACGACCUAAUUUAUUAACAGAGCCACCGCCGGUGAUACAGCCGUGCAUGCUACGGUCAGAGACGCCGGAGUUUUUUAUGAGAGCGGCAACAUCAGCACCACCGGAUGUGAGAAUGAGGGUGGUGAGUCCACCAAGAAGAUCACAACCUGAUGUUUGGCUCAUACUUCAAGCUGCUCAAAAUCAUUAUGGUUCUUGCAGAUCAGGUAGAGAACCCUAUUUGCCCCAGAUAGCCAAGAACUAUUUGAGGAUAAAGGAUGGGAGAUCAACACUCAGAUUGCUUAUGAAGUACUUGGUGAAGAAACUAGGAUUGGAGGAUGAAUCAGAGAAAGAAAGAUAGAGCAUGCAUCAGAGAAUAAUUAACAAAGUAAGUGAAAGAAAAUAAAGCUGCAGAUACAUUUUGCCUCUUAUUAGUUGUCUUUUUAUAUAUAUUUUUUCCGAUGAUAAUUUGUGCACAAUUGUUCAUACGUUGUUACUGGGAUAUGGAGUUACUUGAGUUUAGUUGAGUCGAUGCUGGUAUUUUGGUGGCACAUCAUUUCUCACUGAUAUAGAAAGAAUCAUGAUAGAGAAUGCAUGCAUGUCACGUUUAUCUCUCUCUUUGGAACAUAUACAUGCCAUCCAAUGUUCUUUCAAUGAGAUUGUCACUAGUUCUUCAUUGUGAUUAAUUAUCCUUGUGUUCUUGCAUCGAGUUUCAUUGUCAUACAACCAAUGAAACAUGAUACUUCAAGUGCAGGACAUGCAUUAUGUGCAAUUAGCUUUUGUUGGUGGAUGCAUCUCUAUCAGUGCUUGAACCCUGUCCAAUAAGUUGACAUCAGUUGCCCUAUACAUCAACUGGUAGCCAAAUUAUAAUUAUUGUUCUUCUAGCUCAUUGUUAAUUGAUGCUAGCUGAUGAUGAAUAAAAGCAGGAAUACAUAAUCACACAAGCUAACUAGGUGCUAAUUAACAAACCUGCAGUACACUGUCAUGCUCUUAGCUUGCUGGUCUCACGUUAACUGCAUGCAAUUAUUAAUCAGACCCUAACUCACAUUAAUUAAUUAUAAUUAGUUCAGAAUUGUAGAUAUUAAAAACCCUACACAUUAAGGACCACUUUUCGACUCUCACAUUGGGUGAUGGAGAAUCCUCACCAAUUGGCUUUAGCAUUAAUUUGUUUGCUUCUUUAUUUUUCUGAUUGAAGAAGAGAAUUAAGGGAGGAGGUUGGUUACCUAUACCUAUCAAUAGCGAAGUAACCAUGCAUCAUCUGAACCUUUUCUCAGUUUCACUGCAUUAUGAGCAAGCAAUCUUGGUAGAGAUCACAUGUAGAGAUCAACAGCUCCAUCCCUUUUCGACAUUGCAGUAUGUUCGGAAUACCAUUUGGUGCUCAGGCAAUUCAAUGAUCAUGACUCCUAACUCACCAGCAAUCGAUCACGUCAUGACAUUACAGUACAGGAGAAGCAAGCAUGCAUCCGUCUCUGGACCACUCUCGUGUAGCAUUCCGCUGAUGUUUUUAUGAGGCUUGUUCAGAUCUGUCUCCAUCCAGCUGCCAAAGAGAAAUUACAGCACAAGAAGUUUUUUUUCUGCUUCAAUCCAAUGCCGGAACAAAUUCUUUACUUCAUUCUUUACUUCGCUUGAGUUCUUAAUUUACCCAUAAAUCUAUGAAUGUUGUUCCCGUAUGAGAUCGUCUAUGGGUGAGCCAUCGAUAAACUGUCUUGUAUGUUGAUGAAGUUGCCGAACUUCAAGGAAGGAGCUUAAGUCAGUUUUUUAUGGGAAGAGGGAGAAAAAAAUGAUUAAUCAGGCUGGAUAACGUCGAGUUUGAGGUGAUCGGUCCGGCCCCAUGAAAGUUUUCCAUCGGCCACCAAGAUAAAUCAGGAAGCGCUCGGGCAGUCCAAGAGUCCAGUAUCCUUUAAUUACGUGUCUCAUUUAAAGGAAAAAUUCCUACAAAUUCGUCAUAGUUGGGAUUCGAACCAUGGAUGUCUGUGUGACAACCUAGAUACCCUGCCAUUGUAUCAUAGCCCCGGAGGCAUGGGGAGAGGUAGAAGAUUGAUAGUGAGGAGGAGAUGUAAUUAUAUUGUUAUAUGUGUGUGUUUA